rnacentral:rRNA from 1 species
UGGGGAAUAUUGCACAAUGGGCGCAAGCCUGAUGCAGCCAUGCCGCGUGUAUGAAGAAGGCCUUCGGGUUGUAAAGUACUUUCAGCGAGGAGGAAGGCGUUGUGGUUAAUAACCGCAACGAUUGACGUUACUCGCAGAAGAAGCACCGGCUAACUCCGUGCCAGCAGCCGCGGUAAUACGGAGGGUGCAAGCGUUAAUCGGAAUUACUGGGCGUAAAGCGCACGCAGGCGGUCUGUCAAAUCGGAUGUGAAAUCCCCGGGCUCAACCUGGGAACUGCAUCCGAAACUGGCAGGCUAGAGUCUUGUAGAGGGGGGUAGAAUUCCAGGUGUAGCGGUGAAAUGCGUAGAGAUCUGGAGGAAUACCGGUGGCGAAGGCGGCCCCCUGGACAAAGACUGACGCUCAGGUGCGAAAGCGUGGGGAGCAAACA